CGGUAAGGCCCUUUCGGGGGUACACGAGCGGCGAACGGGUGAGUAACACGUGGGUGACCUGCCCUCAGCUCUGGGAUAAGCCUGGGAAACUGGGUCUAAUACCGGAUAUGACUUCACAUCGCAUGGUGUGUUGUGGAAAGUUUUUUCGGCUGGGGAUGGGCCCGCGGCCUAUCAGCUUGUUGGUGGGGUGAUGGCCUACCAAGGCGACGACGGGUAGCCGGCCUGAGAGGGCGACCGGCCACACUGGGACUGAGACACGGCCCAUACUCCUACGGGAGGCAGCAGUGGGGAAUAUUGCGCAAUGGGCGGAAGCCUGACGCACCGACGCCGCGUGGGGGAUGACGGCCUUCGGGUUGUAAACCUCUUUCGACCUUGACGAAGGCCUUCGGGUUGACGGUAGGGGUAGAAGAAGCACCGGCCAACUACGUGCCAGCAGCCGCGGUAAUACGUAGGGUGCGAGCGUUGUCCGGAAUUAUUGGGCGUAAAGAGCUCGUAGGCGGUCUGUCGCGUCGGUCGUGAAAACUUGGGGCUUAACCCUGAGCUUGCGGUCGAUACGGGCGUGACUGGAGUUCGGCAGGGGAGACUGGAAUUCCUGGUGUAGCGGUGAAAUGCGCAGAUAUCAGGAGGAACACCGGUGGCGAACGCGGGUCUCUGGGCCGAUACUGACGCUUAGGAGCGAAAGCGUGCGGAGCGAACAGGAUUAGAUACGCUGGUAGUCCACGCCGUAAACAGUGGGCGCUAGGUGUGGGGGCCAUUCCACGGUCUCUGUGCCGCAACUCACGCAUUAAGCGCCCCGCCUGAGGAGUACGGCCGUCAGGCUCAUACUCAUAUGAAUUGACCGGG
rnacentral:rRNA from 1 species